rnacentral:rRNA from 1 species
GAUGAACGCUGGCGGCGUGCCUAAUACAUGCAAGUCGAGCGAAUGGAUUGAGAGCUUGCUCUUAUGAAGUUAGCGGCGGACGGGUGAGUAACACGUGGGUAACCUGCCCAUAAGACUGGGAUAACUCCGGGAAACCGGGGCUAAUACCGGAUAACAUUUUGAACCGCAUGGUUCGAAAUUGAAAGGCGGCUUCGGCUGUCACUUAUGGAUGGACCCGCGUCGCAUUAGCUAGUUGGUGAGGUAACGGCUCACCAAGGCAACGAUGCGUAGCCGACCUGGGAGGGGGAUCGGCCACGCUGGGACUGAGACACGGCCCAGACUCCUACGGGAGGCAGCAGUAGGGAAUCUUCCGCAAUGGACGAAAGUCUGACGGAGCAACGCCGCGUGAGUGAUGAAGGCUUUCGGGUCGUAAAACUCUGUUGUUAGGGAAGAACAAGUGCUAGUUGAAUAAGCUGGCACCUUGACGGUACCUAACCAGAAAGCCACGGCUAACUACGUGCCAGCCGCCGCGGUAA